GUGGAUUGAGAAGACAUUCCGACCAGCGGU
rnacentral:piRNA from 1 species